rnacentral:rRNA from 1 species
GAUGAACGCUAGCGACAGGCCUAACACAUGCAAGUCGAGGGGUAACAGGGAGCUUGCUCCGCUGACGACCGGCGCACGGGUGAGUAACACGUAUGCAACCUACCUGUAAUUGGGGAAUAACCCGGCGAAAGUCGGACUAACACCGCAUAAUAAUGAAGAUUCGCAUGAAUUUUCAUUUAAAUAUUUAUAGAUUACAGAUGGGCAUGCGCAUGAUUAGAUAGUUGGUGAGGUAACGGCUCACCAAGUCAACGAUCAUUAGGGGUUCUGAGAGGAAGGUCCCCCAAUUGGAACUGAGACACGGUCCAAACUCCUACGGGAGCAGCAGUGAGGAAUAUUGGUCAAUGGACGCAAGUCUGAACCAGCCAAGUCGCGUGAAGGAUGACUGCCCUAUGGGUUGUAAACUUCUUUUAUAAGGGAAUAAAGUUCGCCACGUGUGGUGAUUUGUAUGUACUUUAUGAAUAAGGAUCGGCUAACUCCGUGCCAGCAGCCGCGGU